rnacentral:tRNA from 1 species
UUCUCGGUGGCUGAGUUAAGAAGCGCUAAACUUUUAAUUUAGAGACAGUCGGGUUUGAAAAUAGACUUCGAGAAA